AUACUGUUGGCCAGUAAUCGAUAGCUGCUUGCAUUGAGUACAUUUGCCGCAGUGACCGCGAAAAGUUGUGAUAUUUUCUUAUUGUGUGCAAAGUUUUUAUUGAAUUGUGUGUGUGUAACUCUUAUGGAGUGCGCAAACUUGAAAGGGUGUUUGAGUUGAAAAUUGGAUGAGGCAACCGAAAAGCGGGUGCAUUAUUUAAUGGGCGAACGCUAAUCAAAUUGGCCUGACUAAUUGUUAUGCAAAAACCGAAAUGAGGCCAUAACAAUCAAGGCCAAUAAACUUGGUCAGGCGGGCUUUGCAUGCCGCUGGCUAAACGACACUUUGAUUUAGUGCAAGGACAACAACAACAACAACAAGGACAUUGAGAAUAACGUAAGCCAAAAUAUCAGCAUAAUAAAAUAAAACAAAAGCCAAUGUCGACGAGGGACGGCAACAAGAGGCAGUCGGCAACUUUAUGACCAACAUAAAAAUCCGUUUCUUUGUCACGCUUACGGCCCGGGCCGGACGCGGCCGGAAUCUCAAAUGACAGAGUUCUGCAUGCACUCCGGGCCACAGUGCGUAUACGCAACGCGAGGCAGCAACUUAUGAGCGCCGCACACAAUUCAAUAGUUGUUGCUGCCGAUUACCAAGCCAACUUGUUGCCGCGUCUUGCUGUUGGAAAGUUGUGCACCUAAUGCCCACAUCAAUAUGCAAAGCUGGCCAAUUUUGGCAUAAGACGCAAAUCAAACGCGCUGCGCUAAGCUGCCUUAAAACUUAAAGUUCAUUUAACUUUUGCAAUCAUCAGCCAUAUCCGAGGCAUGCCCCUUUGUGAUUUAUCAAGAAGUUGAGCAACUUAUUAGUGCAGAUUGUGCGACUUAUAGAUGCACUAAAAGCAGCACUUAUGGAAGGGCAUAUUGGAGCGGCGUUUGCUUAUGAAUUGGAAGCAAUUUGUUGACUUCAACACGAGCUACAGCUGCUGAUUAUGUCUAACUUGGUCUAUUUAUGGAACUAAAACUAAGCUACGCAAGUUCAUUCCACAGAAAAGCAUACAAUAAUUGGUAAGUCCUCUCUAAUAUUCCAAUUGUAGUCAUAUUUGGAUUUCACAGUAAGAGCUCAGUAAAACAUUUGUCUAAGUCCGGGCUUCAACUGCUCAGUUAAUUCCCAGCCCAGUUCUAAGUAACACUUAAUCAAAUUAGACAACAAAAUUCACUACAAAUUGAACUAAAAUCAAUUAACAUUUCGUUGGAUCUUUGCUUUGAUACUGUCACGUUUUUCUUGGGAAACCACUUGCAAAUAAACAUGCCAUUAGACAAGUAAUUCUUUAUAACUCGUCAAACAUUUUCUAUUUUUGGAGCUUAAUAACUGAAUGCCACAUUUCCAUUGUUAACAAAGCAAACUGGACAAUCGUUUUGCUGUAGCCUCAGGUCAAAGCGACGCGCGCCAACAUUGUGCACAAUCCAGCCCAGCCUCACACACAGGGCCAGAUAGCAAUUAUCUAGGCAAGUGAGCGUGUAAUGGGCCCAA